ACCCCACAACAGGCGCCGCCUCCACGUGGCGUGGGGUGGGCAACUGUGCCUCCAGCAGAGGCACAGGCCAAGCGCGCC
rnacentral:ribozyme from 1 species